rnacentral:tRNA from 1 species
GGAUAGCUCAGUGGUAGAGUGUGUGCUUAGCAGGCAUGAGGUCCUGGGUUCUAUCCCCGGUACCUCCA